AAAUAUAAAAUAUUUAAUUAAAAUAUAUAAUUGGCGUUUUCGCCUUGCCGACCAUUCUGCUAUAUCACCACCCAUAUUCUGAGUCU